rnacentral:rRNA from 1 species
GAUGAACGCUGGCGGCGUGCCUAAUACAUGCAAGUCGAGCGAACGGACGAGAAGCUUGCUUCUCUGAUGUUAGCGGCGGACGGGUGAGUAACACGUGGAUAACCUACCUAUAAGACUGGGAUAACUUCGGGAAACCGGAGCUAAUACCGGAUAAUAUUUUGAACCGCAUGGUUCAAAAGUGAAAGACGGUCUUGCUGUCACUUAUAGAUGGAUCCGCGCUGCAUUAGCUAGUUGGUAAGGUAACGGCUUACCAAGGCAACGAUGCAUAGCCGACCUGAGAGGGGGAGCGGCCACACGGGAACGGAGACACGGUGCAGAGUCGUACGGGAGGAAGCAGUAGGGAAUGUUCCGCAAUGGGCGAAAGCAUGACGGAGCAACGAAGCGUGAGUGAUGAAGGUCUUAGGAUCGUAAAAAUCUGUUAUGAGGGAAGAACAUAUGUGUAAGUAACUGUGCACAUCUUGACGGGACCUAAUAAGAAAGCCACGGCGAACUACGUG